rnacentral:sRNA from 1 species
AGUACCUUGGAUUUCUGAGUGGGCAAGGCUGGACUCUGAGCCCUGGAACCUCUGAAGUGAACACUGCAGGGCCAUUUGUUCUUCCAGUGUGAAUCAGUUAAUAUUAUCGGGAACGAGGGAGAGGUUGAUCCUAGGAGGAAAUCAACCACAGUGAAAAGGCUUGGGCCGCUUUUGUUUUCACCUCCUUUUGCUGAACAAAUUUGAUUUCCGGAGUCAGUCAUUUUACUGUCAAGAAAUUUCUGCGGCAUUCUGCAACAGUUUCCAACGUGGCUAGAUCCGUCAGAGACUGAAGCCGUGGAGAACGCUCUCGGGGCCUUUGCCACUUCUUGGAGUAGAAGCCGACAGAGAGCUGUUUGGAAACGUCUUCUUCACACACCAGUUGAAGACUAGGCUUUGGAGGUUUUCAAAGCAGACUGUGCUUGG